rnacentral:rRNA from 1 species
GACAGAGGGUGCAAACGUUGUUCGGAAUUACUGGGCGUAAAGCGCGUGUAGGCGGCCCAGCAAGUCGGAUGUGAAAGCCCUGGGCUCAACCUGGGAAUUGCAGUGGAUACUGGCAAGCUAGAGUGCGGUAGAGGAUGGUGGAAUUCCCGGUGUAGCGGUGAAAUGCGUAGAGAUCGGGAGGAACACCCGUGGCGAAGGCGGCUCACUGGCUCGACACUGACGCUGAGGUGCGAAAGCGUGGGGAGCAAACAGG